rnacentral:misc_RNA from 1 species
AAGUCGUAACAAGGUUUCCGUAGGUGAACCUGCGGAAGGAUCAUUAAUGAUUUUUUAAGCAAGCCAAGCUUUUUUUUUUUUAAAAAAAGUGAGGUUUUGCGAACGUAUUUAAAACCCCCCACUCUUUAAAAAAAAAUAUAUUUUUCAUUCAUAAAUGAAUAAAAAAAAAGAUCACUUUCAACAACGGAUCUCUUGGCUCUC